rnacentral:tRNA from 1 species
GGCUCGCUAACUUAGUUGGUAAAGCGCUCCUCUAACUAGCAUUCAAGAGUCCUGGUUUCAAAUCCCAGCCGAGCAC